rnacentral:lncRNA from 1 species
UAUAGCUGCGCGAGUGCUUAUUUUACAACAAUUCAAGUGUUUUAAUUAAAUUAAUUAAUUGUUUUUUUGUCACGUUUUGUUUUGUUUAUUUAUUGUUGAUCUACUGUGUGAUAAAUUAUUGUAAAACAUUGCUAUUUUCUCUCAAAAAUUGGAUAUUGUCUGUCGGACAACAACAACAACAAUCAAAAUGGCGGCAAGUACAUACAAAAAAGUGUGAAAAUAUAGCUGAGCAAGUGACAAAGGCUCUUGGUACUCUAUCAAACAAAAAGUGGAGGUAUUAUUGGAUGCUUCAAAGAUAAUUAAGACUGAUUAUUAAAUUGAUAUUUGCUAAAUUAAUAUGUGCUGAUAAUUUUUGAAACAACUACUGCUAAAAUCAAGAUGAAAAGAACAAAAAUAUAUUCACUAUUAUUAUUGAAAUAACAAUCAAACUCGUAUUGAAAUAGAUUGUCAUCAAUAAAUCUAUGAUUAAAGUAUUAAUAAAUGUAGUUGAAAAAAAUUUUUGUGAUGUGCUGACAAAGGUGAAAAUAUGAAAGAAAUGUUUUAAAAAUAAAUUGGCUGUUUUUAUCAAGUUUAACAGAAGAAAAUGAGUGAUGUCAUUGAUGAUGAUUUUGAUUGUGAUAAAAGGUACGUUGGUUUUGGUGAUUCUUCAAAUAAUUGUUGAGGAAUUGAUGAAACAAUUUGGUAAUUUUAAUAUAAAACCUGAUCAAUCAGUCAGAGUAUUUUAUAUUAAA